ACUCCUACGGGAGGCAGCAGUGGGGAAUCUUAGACAAUGGGCGCAAGCCUGAUCUAGCCAUGCCGCGUGAGUGAUGAAGGCCUUAGGGUCGUAAAGCUCUUUCGCCAGGGAUGAUAAUGACAGUACCUGGUAAACGAAACCCCGGCUAACUCCGUGCCAGCAGCCGCGGUAAUACGGAGGGGUUAGCGUUGUUCGGAAUUACUGGGCGUAAAGCGCGCGUAGGCGGAUUAGUCAGUUAGAGGUGAAAUCCCAGGGCUCAACCCUGGAACUGCCUUUAAUACUGCUAGUCUUGAGUUCGAGAGAGGUGAGUGGAAUUCCGAGUGUAGAGGUGAAAUUCGUAGAUAUUCGGAGGAACACCGAGUGGCGAAGGCGGCUCACUGGCUCGAUACUGACGCUGAGGUGCGAAAGUGUGGGAGCAAACAGGAUUAGAUACCCGUGGUAGCGACUGA
rnacentral:rRNA from 1 species